rnacentral:rRNA from 1 species
CGCCUGGGGAGUACGGCCGCAAGGUUAAAACUCAAAUGAAUUGACGGGGGCCCGCACAAGCGGUGGAGCAUGUGGUUUAAUUCGAUGCAACGCGAAGAACCUUACCUGGUCUUGACAUCCACAGAACUUAGCAGAGAUGCUUUGGUGCCUUCGGGAACUGUGAGACAGGUGCUGCAUGGCUGUCGUCAGCUCGUGUUGUGAAAUGUUGGGUUAAGUCCCGCAACGAGCGCAACCCUUAUCCUUUGUUGCCAGCGGUUCGGCCGGGAACUCAAAGGAGACUGCCAGUGAUAAACUGGAGGAAGGUGGGGAUGACGUCAAGUCAUCAUGGCCCUUACGACCAGGGCUACACACGUGCUACAAUGGCAUAUACAAAGAGAAGCGACCUCGCGAGAGCAAGCGGACCUCAUAAAGUAUGUCGUAGUCCGGAUUGGAGUCUGCAACUCGACUCCAUGAAGUCGGAAUCGCUAGUAAUCGUAGAUCAGAAUGCUACGGUGAAUACGUUCCCGGGCCUUGUACACACCGCCCGUCACACCAUGGGAGUGGGUUGCAAAAGAAGUAGGUAGCUUAACCUUCGGGAGGGCGCUUACCACUUUGUGAUUCAUGACUGGGGUGAAGUCGUAACAAGGUAACCGUAGGGGAACCUGCGGUUG